ensembl:snRNA U6 U6 spliceosomal RNA
GUGCUCACUUUGGCAGCACAUACACUAAAAUUGGAAUGAUACAGAGAUUAGCUUGGCCCCUGUGCAAGGAUGACACACAAAUUCGUGAAGUACUCCAUAUGUUU